AGUCGAGGGGCAGCAUGGUCUUAGCUUGCUAAGGCCGAUGGCGACCGGCGCACGGGUGAGUAACACGUAUCCAACCUGCCGUCUACUCUUGGACAGCCUUCUGAAAGGAAGAUUAAUACAAGAUGGCAUCAUGAGUCCGCAUGUUCACAUGAUUAAAGGUAUUCCGGUAGACGAUGGGGAUGCGUUCCAUUAGAUAGUAGGCGGGGUAACGGCCCACCUAGUCUUCGAUGGAUAGGGGUUCUGAGAGGAAGGUCCCCCACAUUGGAACUGAGACACGGUCCAAACUCCUACGGGAGGCAGCAGUGAGGAAUAUUGGUCAAUGGGCGAGAGCCUGAACCAGCCAAGUAGCGUGAAGGAUGACUGCCCUAUGGGUUGUAAACUUCUUUUAUAAAGGAAUAAAGUCGGGUAUGNAUACCCGUUUGCAUGUACUUUAUGAAUAAGGAUCGGCUAACUCCGUGCCAGCAGCCGCGGUAAUACGGAGGAUCCGAGCGUUAUCCGGAUUUAUUGGGUUUAAAGGGAGCGUAGAUGGAUGUUUAAGUCAGUUGUGAAAGUUUGCGGCUCAACCGUAAAAUUGCAGUUGAUACUGGAUAUCUUGAGUGCAGUUGAGGCAGGCGGAAUUCGUGGUGUAGCGGUGAAAUGCUUAGAUAUCACGAAGAACUCCGAUUGCGAAGGCAGCCUGCUAAGCUGCAACUGACAUUGAGGCUCGAAAGUGUGGGUAUCAAACAGGAUUAGAUACCCUGGUAGUCCACACGGUAAACGAUGAAUACUCGCUGUUUGCGAUAUACGGCAAGCGGCCAAGCGAAAGCGUUAAGUAUUCCACCUGGGGAGUACGCCGGCAACGGUGAAACUCAAAGGAAUUGACGGGGGCCCGCACAAGCGGAGGAACAUGUGGUUUAAUUCGAUGAUACGCGAGGAACCUUACCCCGGCCUUAAAUUGCAGAUGAAUUACGGUGAAAGCCGUAAGCCGCAAGGCAUCUGUGAAGGUGCUGCAUGGUUGUCGUCAGCUCGUGCCGUGAGGUGUCGGCUUAAGUGCCAUAACGAGCGCAACCCUUGUUGUCAGUUACUAACAGGUUCCGCUGAGGACUCUGACAAGACUGCCAUCGUAAGAUGUGAGGAAGGUGGGGAUGACGUCAAAUCAGCACGGCCCUUACGUCCGGGGCUACACACGUGUUACAAUGGGGGGUACAGAGGGCCGCUACCACGCGAGUGGAUGCCAAUCCCAAAAACCUCUCUCAGUUCGGACUGGAGUCUGCAACCCGACUCCACGAAGCUGGAUUCGCUAGUAAUCGCGCAUCAGCCACGGCGCGGUGAAUACGUUCCCGGGCCUUGUACACACCGCCCGUCAAGUCCAUGGGAGCCGGGGGUACCUGAAGUGCGUAACCGCGAGGAG
rnacentral:rRNA from 1 species